UACGGGGGGGGCAAGCGUUGUUCGGAAUUACUGGGCGUAAAGGGCUCGUAGGCGGCCAACUAAGUCAGACGUGAAAUCCCUCGGCUUAACCGGGGAACUGCGUCUGAUACUGGAUGGCUCGAGUUUGGGAGAGGGAUGCGGAAUUCCAGGUGUAGCGGUGAAAUGCGUAGAUAUCUGGAGGAACACCGGUGGCGAAGGCGGCAUCCUGGGACCAACACUGACGCUGAUGAGCGAAAGCCAGGGGAGCAAACGGG
rnacentral:rRNA from 1 species